CAGCCGCCGCGGUAAUACAGAGGGUGCGAGCGUUAAUCGGAUUUACUGGGCGUAAAGCGCACGCAGGCGGUCUGUCAAGUCGGAUGUGAAAUCCCCGGGCUCAACCUGGGAACUGCAUUCGAAACUGGCAGGCUAGAGUCUUGUAUAGGGGGGUAGAAUUCCAGGUGUAGCGGUGAAAUGCGUAGAGAUCUGGAGGAAUACCGGUGGCGAAGGCGGCCCCCUGGACAAAGACUGACGCUCAGGUGCGAAAGCGUGGGGAGCAAACAGGAUUAGAUACCCCAGUAGUCCCUGUCUCUUAUAC
rnacentral:rRNA from 1 species